GAUGAACGCUGGCGGCGUGCCUAAUACAUGCAAGUCGAGCGAAUGGAUUAAGAGCUUGCUCUUAUGAAGUUAGCGGCGGACGGGUGAGUAACACGUGGGUAACCUGCCCAUAAGACUGGGAUAACUCCGGGAAACCGGGGCUAAUACCGGAUAACAUUUUGAACCGCAUGGUUCGAAAUUGAAAGGCGGCUUCGGCUGUCACUUAUGGAUGGACCCGCGUCGCAUUAGCUAGUUGGUGAGGUAACGGCUCACCAAGGCAACGAUGCGUGGCCGACCUGAGAGGGUGAUCGGCCACACUGGGACUUAGACACGGCCCAGACGCCUACGGGAGGCAGCAGUAGGGAAUCUUCCGCAAUGGACGAAAGUCUGACGGAGCAACGCCGCGUGAGUGAUGAAGGCUUUCGGGUCGUAAAACUCUGUUGUUAGGGAAGAACAAGUGCUAGUUGAAUAAGCUGGCACCUUGACGGUACCUAACCAGAAAGCCACGGCUAACUACGUGCCAGCCGCCGCAGUAA
rnacentral:rRNA from 1 species